UCAGUAUCAUAAAUCUGAAAAAGAAAGAUAUAUUCUUCUUUUUCCACUUCAGUUGUUUUCAAAUUUGUACUAGAUUUAAAAAGUCUCUUCAGACCUCCACAGCUACCAGACAUGAUUCCUUGCCAGACCAAUCAGACUUACUGUGAAAUAAAGUUUCCUGUCAUAUUAAGGUACAGCUGUCAUCUUAACCCUCAGUGCUGUAAACAAGCAGUUGCUGGCAGCAGAUCAUAAGCACAACUAUAAUCUGUGUACCUCAAUUUUCCACAUGUCUGGCCAAGAAAGGUAUGUCUCCAUGACAUCAUUCCAUCUCAUCAAUUUCCCUGUCUCCUCAGCCUUGCAACGCUUUUAUCCUCCUUUUUAUUUCUUCUGCAUUCACUUCCCUUGCAUCUCCUGGAAUCAUUUCUCUGUGCCAUUUUGGUUACCAUGUGUAGCCCAGUGGUGACUCAUGGAAAUAUCUGUAGACUCCUCAUCUAUUUAUUCUACCAGACAUAUCCUGUUAUUUGUCUGUCUCUCAACUAUUCUGCUUUACUUUAAAAAUGUUGCUUUUCUUGUUUAGGAUUUUCAUUCAUUAACCCCAGUGUAGUGUUGCUUUGGUGUUUUUCCUGCUUCUAAUUUUCCAUGCUCCUCUGACCAAAAGAAUGCUACCUCUGUGACAUGUUGGUGAAAUGUGUCAAUUUACCUUCUUACUCCUGCAGUGGAAACCGAAUUAGCCUCUUCUUAGAUCCACUAUGAGUUGUUGGCCCUCUUCUCUUGCUUCAGGAACCCAACGCUGGGAGAGGCCAGAGGACUUGCCCCUUUAACCCUAGUCUCGCAGUCACUGUAUGGUGACUUCAGUGCACUCUACAGGAUCUUGUCAGCUGUGUGUGAAAUUUGGUGCCUGAGAGCACACUAGUUCUGCGACCCCAGCAAGACCCCAAGGGAUGCAGAAGCAUCUGCCCAUCUGCAGGAGUAACACAGGCAGGUCUCUAACAAAUCACCUGAGCAAAAUUCAAUAUAAAGUUCAGGUUAGAAGUAUUCUCCAACAUAACCUGUUCCCUUUGUACGCAACAGUUACAUACAUCUCCUGCAUAUUAGAUAGAGCCUACAGCCUGAGCUUCCUUUCAGGGCAAAGGAUGUGGAUUUAUUUGCUCUCAGGUUGCUAGGAGACCUACUAUUUUCCAGCUGUACCCUCUCAGAUAAAAAGAGAUUACUACUUCCACACUACAAAAACACAAGAUUUUUUUUUCUUUUCACCAGGGCUCAGGUCUGGUCAGGGGGUGGUGAGCACUCUCACACUGCCAGACCCUCUGGGAGACAAAGUUACAAACUGACCCUGGUUUUGCACCGUUUGGAUAGGAACUACCUGCACAGGCAUCACCUUGCAUAUCUGUAUUUGCCAUGGUAUCUUUCAGAAAAACUAAUAACUACUAUUAAGAAAAGCAAUUCCUUGUAAAAAAUUGAAAGAUAUGGAAAAUCCGAAUUUUACCUGAGCAUUUCAACUUACCCAAAAGUCUGGAAGACAAAAACCCCCAAAAUUUAACAUUAUGAUUAGAAAAAGCAUAGGAUGAAGCUUACUAAGUUACACCUUCUGGGUGAUUAGACUGUGCCAUAUUUUAAAUCUUUCAGUGUCAGUGGUCUGAAACAUAAGGUCAUAAAGGGCAUUUACUGUGGACAGAGGGAAAGAGGAGUAUAAAGUUCUUUUCAUAUUUAUUUUGAAUAAGUUUGUUCUCUGCUAGCUUUUCUGAUGCAUGGAGAAAACCUGAAAGAGAAGCAUAUAAUCUAAAUUAUUUUACUGAUCUGGGCUGACUAUAGCAGCAAGAUUUGUAUCACCAAACUUCAGAAGUAUGUACCUUUACAGACUUUACAGACUUUGAAAAGUUUAGGCCAUUCCUCUGACACUGAGCUAACUUUCAAAUCUGUUUUGGUGCUGACAGUACCCACACACUAAAUAGAGCUUUCGUUUGCAUGCUUUUUCUCCUCACAGAAUGAGUUAGUUUGAGAGUUGUAAAUAUGGUUCAUUGCCUUUGUCCCAGACAGACACAUAUGAGAAAUGUACACUUUAACUUUCCCCAAACCAAUAUUUCCAUGUUCUUUACCUGCUUCCUUUGUUCUGUGUGCAUCAAUCAGUUGAAAAUUGUUCUACGUCAAAGAAUUUGAAAGUAAAUUAACAUAAGAACUUUCAAUUAGAACUGGUUAUUUAAGCCUGAGAUAUGAGUGUGAACUGUAUCUUGUUCCCUCCUUCCAGACAGAUUCUCAAGAACAAAUUGAAUUUGGAUUACAUAGAAAUCUUCUUGGCAUCAUUGUUAUUUUUUUUUAGAGAUUAAAGAUUUGUUAGAAUGCAUUCUUUCCAUCCUCGCGUGAUUAUGUGCAUAUUGGCCAAUAUUUUUAAACAUGGCGUCCUUGGGCUGAACAUUUUUGAAUAUCUUUGAUUAGUAAAUACAUACUCUGGCUUUCAGACACCCUUGGCAACUCACAAAUAACCAUAAACCUGCAGUGUCUUUUUCGCCAUAAGUAACUAAAUACCAGUAAUUAACUGUAAGAGAGCAGAAUUCAGUAGACAUAUUUUCUUUUGAAAUUUCCAACUUGGCAGUAGAUGGUUACCUUGUGUGUCAUCCUGUUACUGUUAAACAGCUCUUCCAGACCUGAAAGUAUUGAAAUGGGUAAGAUAAAUUUUGUUGAACAGAGCUGUACAAAACCAAUCUGCUGUAGAGAAGAAUAUACAGCCAAAACAAAAUUAUAUUAGUUUAGGGAAUUGAAUGAUGUGGCUUAGGUUCAGCAAUACUUUGGAAAACACAGAGCAAGAAAAAGGCAGUUACAGUGAAUUUUAUGAUUCAUUGAAAGAAUAUAUGGUACAAUAGUGACCUUUAAAUCUGGUGAAAACCCAACAGCAUCAUUUAACUUUCUCAUGCUGUUUCCAGACAGCACAAAGCGAAAGCAAAGGUCCUAAGUACUGUGGACUUUAACUGGUUUUAAGAAUAUACACACUAACAUGUAUACUCAGUUUUAAAUGGUGGAGGAACUUUAAUCUGUGAGGGAAGUAGAGAUUCAAUAAGCUUGUAUCUUCUUAUCAUUAACACCAUUCCAAAUAGCUCACAACUGAAGAACCUUGAUUUAACAUACUUGGCAAACGACCAGGCAAAAAAAGAAAUGCAUAUAAUUUGUUUUCUCUCUCUCUUUGUAUCUUAGCUCAACAUCUGUUUUUUCAGUCAUGAGCUCCUAAGAGCACAGAUCUCUAACACAGUAUUGAAUGAUGAUAAAAAUUGGACAAAUCUAAUCCAGCUGAACCUAUUGGAAAGAUUCUUGUUAUUGCAAAAAGCUUUGGUCUCAUUACUCAGUCUCCCAAAAGCAAUAUCUUUUUGGAAGGUCCAAGUGUUUUUUAUAACCAUUAAAUAUACAAAAGCAACAUUUCUCAUUCCCAUCCCCCAUUCAGACUUAUACACUAAUUAAUAAGCGGAAGUUUGGAAGCUGACUCAAACAGAGUUCUGAUUUCUCUGCAAAACCCCAUCGGUUUUGUCUCCUUGUCUCUCUCUUUUGUCCCAGCUCCCUCUGCUUAUAACUCCAGUUUCUCCCACAUAUCCUCCCUUCUUAUAUUUAUUUUCAUAUUCCCAAGAGCAUAUUCUGUUUUCUUUGCAAGUGACAUAAUUUCUAAGGGGCAAGGGGCAGCAUGAAGAGUGACUGGCUUGAAACAACAUGCUUUUGACUGCGAGCCAGCAGGCCAAAGGCAGAGGAGCCAUUUUGACGCCAGAAACAAGAUGAAUCUGGAUGGAAUCAGCAAACACGGAAUAUGACAACACCAGGGUCAGCCAGGAAAAGAUGGUGCGUGCAAGCCUCAGUUGUCCUGUGUGUGGCAAUAGACAUCCUACCCAUGCUGUGGUUGGGCAGCCAGGCAAGAGCUCUGGGAAAGGCAGCGUUCUUCCUCUGAGGAAUAAAGCAAAGAUGAGGCCCACAGCCCCCACCCUGCUAUACUGCCACAGCCCCUUGCAGCAUUGCCCUGCUGAAAAGACGUGAAGGUCUAGUUCACAGCUGAAAGACACAGCUGAUGCUGGCAGGGCUAGGCUUUACAAAAUACUCUGGCUCUCCCUGAGCUGCAAAUCUGAAACUUCAGUGGAAAUGCUGUGAAAAAUGUCUGGACUGUGGGAUUUGUGUUGUGUGGUGGCUGUUCAUUGUCAGGUUGGGAAAGUAGUUCCAGACUUUGAAUCAAAGUAAGGGUAGAAGGUUUGUUCUGCUAAUCUCUCUUCUUUUUUCUCCCACACAUACACUGCUACAUGUCACAUACAGAUGAGUUUUAACAACUCUGGAAGAGCUGACCAGAAUCAAGCUCUCUUCACUUAUAUUGUCUUGAGAACUUAAUGUCUGAAGAAAACAAACAACAAAAAGCAAUUACUUAUCUACUACGGGAAGUUGACACAAUAUUUUCAUAAAUUGGAUCUACCUUUACCGGCUUCUGGAGCGACAACAUUAUAAGUGAUUUCUGAAGCUUUUCAGUGGAACAUGGGCAUUUUGCCAUUUAUGCACAAAUGAGUAAAGCAUACUCCAAAACUCAGCAAAUACAAACUCCAGGUGGACUGGCCACACUAACUCAGCAAAUACAAACUCCAGGUGGACUGGCCACACUUUGCGUCUUUUCUAGCCAUGGAGAGCAGCCCAGACCCUUUCCAACCCAGGAAGCACAAAGCCCAGAAAGUACCACUCCAUGCAACAUUUUGUCCAUACUAAAGGAUGCCAAGCACAUCGGCUAUGUGUGUAUAUGUAGUCACCAUCCAACACUUUGGGAACAUGUGGCUGUUCAAGGAUCAAGUGAUAAAAACUCCCUUUCUUGUCUAAAUUAGCACAGCAAACCCCCUGUGCUCCAAAGGCCUAAAUAAGGCAUGGACUUCCCUCCAUGCAACAAAUUCCAAGCUUGCUAAAUGUGGCAUCCUGCCAUAGGAAGCUGAAUCCCAAAGUGACCCAGCAUCACCUCUGGCUGGCCAGCUACCUCCCAGACAAAGCUGAUCAGGGACUGUAACAGCAGGGGAGAAGAGAAAGUAAGCGUGAAUAGUUAUAAAAUCUCUCUCCACCUCUCUUGCUCAAAAAUAGUGUCAUCAUCUCAACCCUUGAGACACAGUUUUAUUGUUCAGACAGAAAGCUCAAAACCAAAUGCAAAACCAAAGCCAUUUCUUGGGCCAAAAUGACCUAGGGCUAUUGCCCACCCUAAGUCAGCCUAGACCUUGACAGGGAAGAGAUUUGAUUUUCUUAAAUCAACCUACCCAUAUGUUAAUUUCACUGCCAGUUGGGUUCACAUUCCAGCUUACUGCCAUAAAUGAACAAGUAUGCAGGGCAAAGAUGAAAACAGUCCUUAUUCACUUCAAGUCUUAGCUCCACAGGCUUUUAGAGCCCAGCCUGUUAUGUCAGUCAGUGUUGAGCUUGGGCCUCACUCAGAAAACAAUUGACCUUUUGUCCUCCCUCAGGGAAUGUACAUAACAGGGUGGGUGUGCUUAGCAAUACUUUGAAGGACUGGGAUGAUCUUUGGAUGUAGCAUGAUAUAAAGAAACAUUAGGAACAAUGAUAGAAACUCUGUGCUCAAAGUAGGAUAACUUGUCACACCCCAGUAGAAAAAUACAGAAAUGUGUGCUCAGCAUAUCUGUGGGAAUGCAACGGGACCAACUGGGAUUUUAUGCCACAUAUAGCAAGCUGCCUGUGGAACCACUGCCAUUGGCAGCUGCCAAAUGUUGCCAGCCAUCUCACUAGUAGUGAGAGAAGCUACUAGAGUGAGCAGUGGGCUAGGGGGCAGGUAGAAAGGAGAGACACUUCA